GAUGGGGUUGUGUGUUUGGAUUCACUGUUUUGGAACUUAAAGCAAGUUUUGAUGGACUUCUUACGCCAAGGGAUUGGGUGAGGGUUUGUCAUACUUAGGUAGGCACAACAAGAGGGAUCUGAGUGUUUUUACAUUAGAGAACAGGGAAAGUAGUAUUCAUCAUCCUAGGAGAGUACUAAGUGAUCUUGCAACAAGAGGGAUCUGAGUGUUUUUACAUUAGAGAACAGGGAAAGUAGUAUUCAUCAUCCUAGGAGAGUACUAAGUGAUCUUGCAACAAGAGGGAUCUGAGUGAGGUUAUUUAGGAAAUCCAUUUCAAUCAUUCUGCAUAUUAGAAUUGUUGUUUGGUUGGUGUGGUCAUGUUAUGCAAGUUUUGUUUCUUCUUUUCCUUGUCUCUUUGUUGUGUUUUUCAUUUUUCUAUUUCAUUUUGAAAUUCAAUUCUCAAAACUUGGUUUCUAUUAAAAUUGGACUAACGUGUUUGUUCGAGUUUCUUGGUGUUCUUGCAAGCAAAAGGUAUGAACGUUGAUGAAGAAGAAUACACAAGGAGCUGAGGAAUUUGAGCAGCAAGUUGGUCCGCCCAAAAAGAGUUUGCUUUUUCUUUCCCUUUCUAUUCUUUUUUCCUGUUUGUUGAUAAUAAGUGUGACUUGGCUAGUUUAACAAUUAUGAUGCAUUGGUUAUGUGACUUUGAGUGAGUUUUGCAUGAAUUUGAGCAGAACCAUUUGUGUUUGCUCAUAAAUUGGUUUUGGAAUACCUUGGGAAUGUAUUGUGAUUUAGUGAAAACUUAUUCUUGUGGUUGUUUUUCAUGUGAGUAUAUCGAGAAUGUUGUUAUUGUUUUUAUUGUGCUUAAUGAUUGUGGCAUGAUCUAUGACAACCAUUGGAAACCAAAGAACUUAACCGGGUGAUAUUUUGUGCCUCAGAGUUUUUAUCUAUGAGUGCUACCUCUUUUGGCUACAAUUAACUUUGCUUGAGUUUCAUUGCUAGUUAUUAUUCAUUUGCAUGCUUACAUUGAAACAAGGUCCUCUUUCUUUCCCUCUUUGCAUCAUAUACCCAGAUUAGCCAAUUGUGUUUCAAAGAUUAGAACCCUUGUGCAAACUUUUCAGCAUUUAAAGAAACUUACCUUCACUUUUGAAACCUUAAGCAUUGUUGAAUAUGAUUGACAAUCUCACCUUGAUGGGAGAGUAAGGUUUCCAUGGUUAGUAGUAUGAUUCAAGUGUGGGGGAAGUUAUUAUUAAAAAAGGAGCAUGAGUAACAAUGAGGAAUUGAUGUUGGUUGAUGUGAUGCAUUCUUGUAUAUAUGUCAUCUAUAAAAGAAAAAGAAAGAGAAAAAUAGAAAAAGAAAAAGAAAAUAUAUGAAUAAGGUGACUACAAGUGGGUGUUUGGUUGUUCUAGUUUUCAGACAAAAGAGAGUAUAAUGAUAAAACUGUAAAAAUGAUGUGAUUGCUCUCUUUGCUCCUUCACAUUACCUAGAUACACCAAUUUCCUUCUUUGCCUUGUCAGACCAUCAAAUAAAGCCCUUGUUGUGUUUGUAUGUUUUGAUAAUUCUUGGCUCUUUAAAUGAAAAGCAAAGUCAAAUUUUGUGCUGUUAGAGGUAGAUAAGAGAAUGACACACCCUUAUACACUAGUGUGCUUGAGUGAAAACACUUUUUCUAGUGAGG
rnacentral:lncRNA from 1 species